UUCCGGCCUCGGGCCUCGGGCCUCGGCCACGUUGGAUCUCUUCAGAUGAGAGGAAAGUUUGUUUCUGCUCGUGUGAGGGACAGGUGGUUGUGAACUCGGGUGGACUCCAAAUGCCCACGCUCCGCGUGCUGGAAUGAUGAUUGGUCGUUGCCAAACCCACGAAAAGAUUCGUCUCGGUUCAGUCUCUCCUGUAUUGAGUGACUUACUACAUAUUUCACUGCUGGGUGUUAGGAAUGAAUAAAACUAAUAGACAGGCAUGAUGACUCACUCCUGUAAGCCCAGCAUUUGGAAGGCUGAGGACAAUCACCUAACCAGAAGCAGCUUAUGGGAAGAAAGAGUUUAUUUCAGCCUUACAGAAUCCAAGGGAAGCAUCAUCAUGGUAGAAGAAGCUGGCUCACUUCUGUAGAUCCAUAACAGAGAGCCAUCAGAUAGGAACAGCUAAAGCUCACACUGGCUCUGAACACAACUUAGGCUGGACUACAAGAUCCACUCCCAGUGACACUUCUCCAGUAGCUGCUAGAGACUUAAGUAGGAUUCUAAACCUUAAUCAGAAAUCCCUGAGGCUGAUGGGAUACCUUCCAGUGAGUUGUUGGCCAGGGAGGUCUCUGAUACCCCCAAAACAUUACAGGCCAUUGCCAAGGACCUUGGUUUCUCACCAGGAAUAGAUGCCAAGAUCCUAUUGCUGAA